CCUACGGGAGGCAGCAGUGAGGAAUAUUGGUCAAUGGACGAGAGUCUGAACCAGCCAAGUAGCGUGAAGGAUGACUGCCCUAUGGGUUGUAAACUUCUUUUAUAUGGGAAUAAAAUGUUCCACGUGUGGGAUUUUGUAUGUACCAUAUGAAUAAGGAUCGGCUAAUUCCGUGCCAGCAGCCGCGGUAAUACGGAGGAUCCGAGCGUUAUCCGGAUUUAUUGGGUUUAAAGGGAGCGUAGGUGGAUUGUUAAGUCAGUUGUGAAAGUUUGCGGCUCAACCGUAAAAUUGCAGUUGAAACUGGCAGGCUUGAGUACAGUAGAGGUGGGCGGAAUUCGUGGUGUAGCGGUGAAAUGCUUAGAUAUCACGAAGAACUCCGAUUGCGAAGGCAGCUCACUGGACUGCAACUGACACUGAGGCUCGAAAGUGUGGGUAUCAAACAGGAUUAGAUACCCCGGUAGUC
rnacentral:rRNA from 1 species